rnacentral:rRNA from 1 species
UACAGAGGUCUCAAGCGUUGUUCGGAUUCAUUGGGCGUAAAGGGUGCGUAGGUGGUUGGGCAAGUCUGAUGUGAAAUCUCCGGGCUUAACCCGGAAAUGGCAUUGGAAACUGCCUGGCUAGAGUGUUGGAGGGGGGACUGGAAUUCUCGGUGUAGCAGUGAAAUGCGUAGAUAUCGAGAGGAACACCAGUGGCGAAGGCGAGUCCCUGGACAACGACUGACACUGAGGCACGAAAGCUAGGGGAGCAAACAGG